rnacentral:rRNA from 2 species
AACNCGAAGANCCUUACCAGNCCUUGACAUCCAAUGAACUUUCCAGAGAUGGAUUGGUNCCUUCGGGAACAUUGAGACAGGUGCUGCAUGGCUNUCGUCAGCUCGUNUCGUGAGAUGUUGGGUUAAGUCCCGUAACGAGCGCAACCCUUGUCCUUAGUUACCAGCACGUUAUGGUGGGCACUCUAAGGAGACUNCCGGUGACAAACCCGGAGGAAGGUGGGGAUGACGUCAAGUCAUCAUGGCCCUUACGGCCUGGGCUACACACGUGNUACAAUGGUCGGUACAAAGGGUUGCCAAGCCGCGAGGUGGAGCUAAUCCCAUAAAACCGAUCGUAGUCCGGAUCGCAGUCUGCAACUCGACUGCGUGAAGUCGGAAGUNGCUAGUAAUUGUUUGAUUCAANAAUG